rnacentral:lncRNA from 1 species
UGUUGCUUGAUAUCGAUCAGUUGAUUUUGAUUCUGCCGUCACUGUGUAUGAUAUUAGGGUUUUGAUAAUAUAGAACGUAACUGAUUUGAUAUUCUUGAUCCUGUGAAACGUAUUGUUAAUGUCUGAGUUUGUAACCUUGAUGUUCUGAGUUUAUUACUUGAAUGUUACCCGAGUUUAAUGCUUGAAUGUUGCCUGAGUUUAUACUUGAUGUGGAC